UACAGAGGGUGCAAGCGUUGUUCGGAAUUACUGGGCGUAAAGGGCGCGUAGGCGGCCUGCUAAGUCGAACGUGAAAUCCCCGAGCUCAACUCGGGAACUGCGUCCGAUACUGACAGGCUUGAAUCCGGGAGAGGGAUGCGGAAUUCCAGGUGUAGCGGUGAAAUGCGUAGAUAUCUGGAGGAACACCGGUGGCGAAGGCGGCAUCCUGGACCGGCAUUGACGCUGAGGCGCGAAAGCUAGGGGAGCAAACGGG
rnacentral:rRNA from 1 species